GCGGCGUGAUGCGCUGGGCUCUGUCGCGCUGCAAGCUCUCUGCCCGCCGCCAACCUUGUGACGCCGCAGGACGCUGAAAGGGACUGUGUAGGUGAAUAAGAGCCGUGGCGUGUCGACGCCACAACACUGUCUCUGGAUCUAAGGAAACACGUGAAACGUAUGGUUUGAAACAUACUGGGUCACCCUGGAUCUCAAUAGCAGAAAGUCGCUCAAGGAGGAUUUAGGGAAAGAGGAAGAGAGGCCUUCUGUUUCAACAGCUGUACAGGCUACUUAGUAUUUGUUACCUUGUUUAGGCCUCCAGACACUUCACCAUCAUCUCCAGUUUGUAAACGCAGAACCUGAGAUUUACAUCAAUGAAGCGACCUGCCCCAAACAAUACAGGUUGAAAAAAAAGUUUAUGUUUUCCCCUCCAUCCGUUAUGACUACAUCCCGCCAUCCGUUAUGGCUAGCAAUAUUGUAUUCGCAUGACACAAAAAACCAAGUGAAAAAUUCAGCGGAGAAAGAAAGAAACUGAUUCUAUAGUCCAAAACCAACAUCAACUGUUUGAACUGGUGUCACUGGCAUUACCUGUGUUUUAAGCCUAUUUUUUCGGCACACGAACUUGGCAAAUGUGGGCCGGGUUUGUUUGAAGUUGGAAUUACGUUGGAAAAUCCAGUGGUGGUAUUUGCGGAACUUAGAAUACAGACAGGCGUUCCAUCAACUCUCGUUGCAUUGUACGUGCUGUCCCAACUCAGCUA